rnacentral:rRNA from 1 species
UACGGGGGGAGCAAGCGUUGUUCGGAAUUACUGGGCGUAAAGGGCUCGUAGGCGGCCAACUAAGUCAGACGUGAAAUCCCUCGGCUUAACCGGGGAACUGCGUCUGAUACUGGAUGGCUUGAAUCCGGGAGAGGGAUGCGGAAUUCCAGGUGUAGCGGUGAAAUGCGUAGAUAUCUGGAGGAACACCGGUGGCGAAGGCGGCAUCCUGGACCGGUAUUGACGCUGAGUGAGCGAAAGCCAGGGGAGCAAACGGG